rnacentral:rRNA from 1 species
UACGUAUGGGGCGAGCGUUGUCCGGAAUGAUUGGGCGUAAAGGGCGCGUAGGCGGCGAGAUAAGUCUGGAGUGAAAGUCCUGUUUUCAAGAUGGGAAUUGCUUUGGAUACUGUUUAGCUUGAGUGCAGGAGAGGUUAUCGGAAUUCCCGGUGUAGCGGUGAAAUGCGUAGAGAUCGGGAGGAACACCAGUGCGAAGGCGGGUAACUGGACUGCAACUGACGCUGAGGCGCGAAAGUGUGGGGAGCAAACA